rnacentral:rRNA from 1 species
AGUGAACGCUGGCGGUAGGCCUAACACAUGCAAGUCGAACGGCAGCACAGUAAGAGCUUGCUCUUACGGGUGGCGAGUGGCGGACGGGUGAGGAAUACAUCGGAAUCUACUUUUUCGUGGGGGAUAACGUAGGGAAACUUACGCUAAUACCGCAUACGACAUACGGGUGAAAGCAGGGGAUCUUCGGACCUUGCGCGAUUGAAUGAGCCGAUGUCGGAUUAGCUAGUUGGCGGGGUAAAGGCCCACCAAGGCGACGAUCCGUAGCUGGUCUGAGAGGAUGAUCAGCCACACUGGAACUGAGACACGGUCCAGACUCCUACGGGAGGCAGCAGUGGGGAAUAUUGGACAAUGGGCGCAAGCCUGAUCCAGCCAUACCGCGUGGGUGAAGAAGUCCUUCGGGUUGUAAAGCCCUUUUGUUGGGAAAGAAAAGCAGCAGGUUAAUACCCCGCUGUUCUGACGGUACCCAAAGAAUAAGCACCGGCUAACUUCGUG